GGCCUGUGAUGUGAUAACAUAUUUGCUACUCUUGAUGGUGUUCGCCAUUUGACGAUCAUUUCCACAAAGAUCUCUGAGGCC